rnacentral:rRNA from 1 species
AUGUUACCUCUUAAUAUUCCUGGUCACCCACAACCUGUAAUGGAAAUACCCGAGAUAAAAGCAGCGGUGCACCUUCUUCGCGGGAUAAGGAGUCUUCCAAUGCCUAGGCAAAAUAUGACAAAUGCGCCUGCAGAGAUAGAAGAACCAAUUGUUAGUGACUUGCUUGAUUGGCUCUGGAAAACAUAUGGAUUUCAGAAAUGUAACGUGGAUAAUCAGAAGGAGCAUUUGGUUUUGCUGCUUGCUAACAUGGAUAUGAAAAGGGAAGGACAAAGUCACAAGAUACAUCGUAACACGAUUGAUACCUUGAUGAAGAAACUUUUUCAAAAUUACAUUUCAUGGUGCAUGUACCUCCAUUUGGAGUCAAACAUCAAAAUUUCACAUGAUUCCUCCACGCAACAACCAGAGCUUCUUUACAUAGGGUUGUAUCUGCUGAUUUGGGGUGAAGCUUCUAAUGUUCGCUUUAUGCCUGAAUGCCUGUGUUAUAUCUUCCACCAUAUGGCAAGAGAUUUGUAUGACAUAAUAUUGAAUGAGAGAGAAGGCUCUUUUGACCCAGUCUUCCAUCGAGAGGGGAGUGAUGAUGCCUUCCUACAGCUAAUUAUCCAACCCAUCUACAAUGUUAUUCAAAAUGAAGCUGCAAUGAGUAAGAAUGGUACUGUCUGCCACUCGAAGUGGAGAAACUAUGAUGACCUGAAUGAAUACUUUUGGUCAAAGAAAUGCUUCAAGCAGCUAGGAUGGCCUAUGGAUUUAGCCUCUGACUUUUUCACGCAUCAUACUAGAAGUGUAUGGAAUAUGCAGCGACAUGAACAUUUAGUUAGCAGGCGGAGCAUGUCCAAAACAAAUUUUGCUGAAGUUCGUACAUUUUUUCAUCUCUUCAAAAGUUUUGAUCGAAUGUGGACUUUCUUGAUUUUAGCUUUCCAGGCCAUGGUAAUUAUUGCAUGGAGCCCUUCUGGAUCAGUUUUUGCUAUAUUUGAAUUGGUUGUUUUCAGAAAUGUCAUGACAAUAUUCAUAACAUCAGCAUUUCUAAACUUCCUUCAAGCCACACUUGAAAUAGUUCUUAAUUGGAAGGCUUGGAGGAGCCUACUGUGCUCGCAGAUGAUACGGCAUGUUCUAAAAUUUGUUGUAGCUAUUAGCUGGAUGAUAAUUCUUCCAGUGACGUACUCAACAUCCAUUCAAAAUAAGACAAUCCUGAGGAAGUUCUUCAGAGAUUGGAUUGGAAAUUUCCAGAGUCAAUCUAUUUAUAAUUUUGCAGUUGCUCUUUACAUAUUGCCGAACCUUUUCAGUGCCUUAUUUUUCAUAUUUCAACCAAUUCGAAGGACAUUGGAGGGUUCCAAUUCUCGUACCAUUGAAUUUCUUUUGUGGUGGAUGCAGCCAAAACUAUAUGUCGCGCGAGGCAUGUAUGAGGACACAUGUUCACGUCUUAAGUACACAUCAUUCUGGAUUCUAUUGCUAAUAUCCAAGCUCGCCUUCAGUUAUUAUGUUGAGAUUUCUCCUUUAGUUGAAUCUACCAGGAUAAUUUUGCAUUUGGGUCAAAAGCAAUACAUCUGGCACGAAUUCUUUCCACACUCGCAUCAUAAUUUAGAUGUUGUUUUUACUAUAUGGGCACCAAUUUUCAUGGUAUACCUCAUGGAUACUCAAAUAUGGUAUGCUAUUUUUUCAACAAUAUGUGGGGGAGUAAAUGGUGCCUUCAGCCGCUUGGGCAAGAUCCAAACCCUCGGGAUGUUAAGAUCAAGAUUCAAUGAAAUCUCAAUAGCUUUUGGUAAACAUCUUGUUCCUACACAUGGUAGUCAACCAAAGAGAGAAGGGCAUAAGGAUGACUUGUUUUUUCAUAUUGAUAAGUUCUCAAACAUAUGGAAUGCAUUCAUUAUGUCGUUACGAGAUGAAGACUUAAUAAGCAAUAGGGAGAGAGAUUUAUUGAUUUUUCCAUCAUAUGUUGGUGACACUAGCGUUUUUCGGUGGCCUAUUUUCCUUCUUGCUAGCAAGAUACCAAUUGCACUUGAAAAGGCAAGGAGUGUCAAGAAAAGUGAUGAAGAAAUACAGAAGAGGAUAAUGCGGGAUCCAUACACCUAUUAUGCCGUAAUAGAGUGCUACGAGACAUUGUUAGAUAUUCUCUACAGCCUUAUAGCAGAAACACGUGAUAUGAUAGUUGUCGAUCGAAUACGUGAGGCACUUGAAGAGAGCAUACGUUGUCAGUCACUUGUGAGAGAUUUCCGAUUGGAUCAACUUCCUCUACUAACUCCUAAGUUUGAUAAGCUUCUAAUUAUAUUAUUGGUACUGAAAAUUGAGCAAGAGGAGAAGGACACAACAAUAAAGACACAGAUUGCAAAUCUAUUAAAAGAUACAAUGGAAAUCAUCACACAGGAUAUCAUGAAGAACGGACAAGGCUUUCUUGCAAAUCCCAGUAUUUUGAAGGGAGAGCUAUUUGCAAAUCUAAAUCUGGACUCAAUAAAGGAUGGAGCUUGGAGGGGGAAGUGUGUUAGGCUUCAACAGUUGUUGGCAGCUAAAGAAGCUGCAAUUUGUGUACCAACAAACGUGGAAGCUCGGCGAAGGAUCACUUUCUUUGCAAACUCACUAUUUAUGAAAAUGCCAAGGGCUCCACAAGUCUCUAGCAUGAUGUCCUUCAGUAUUCUCACUACGUACUUCAAAGAGGGGGCGCACUUUUCAAGAGAAGAUCUCCAUAUAAAAAAUGAGGAUGGGAUAUCUAUCCUGUUUUAUUUACGGAAAAUAUAUCUAGAUGAAUGGAAUAAUUUUCUUGAGCGCAUAAAAUUUGUUCCGAAGGAUGAGGAGUCCCUUGAAUCAAGGAUGGAUGAUAUCUCACUUUGGGCAUCUUAUAGGGGACAAACGCUCACCAGAACUGUGAGAGGAAUGAUGUACUACAGGAGGGCACUUGAAUUACAAUGUAUUCAUGAUAAAAUGGAUAUUGCUAAAUUGGACCUGCAAAGAACAACAUCAUCACAUCAAGAGGGGGGAUCCAAUAUUGUAGAUAUGGCAAUGGCCAUUACUGAUAUCAAAUUCACCUAUGUUGUCUCCUGUCAAGUCUAUGGAAUGCAAAAAGUAUCCAAGGAUCCCAGAGAUAAAGCUCACUAUCUGAACAUCCUUAACCUCAUGAUAAUGUACCCGUCAUUACGUGUUGCUUAUAUUGAUGAGGUAGAAGCUCCGACAAGAAAUGGAAUGACAGAGAAAACCUAUUAUUCUGUUCUCGUCAAAGGAGUGGGUGACAAAUAUGACGAGGAAAUUUACCGCAUCAAGCUUCCUGGCAAACCCACCCAUAUUGGAGAGGGAAAACCAGAAAAUCAAAAUCAUGCCCUAAUUUUCACCAGGGGAGAAGCAAUCCAGGCCACUAAUAUGAAUCAGGAUAAUUACCUCGAGGAGGCAUUUAAAAUGAGAAAUCUGUUGGAGGAGUUCAAGAGUACCAAAUAUGGAAAUAGAAAACCCACUAUAUUGGGUCUUCGGGAACAUCUUUUUACUGGAAGUGUUUCAUCACUAUCUAGGUUUGUAUCAAAUCAAGAGACCAGCUUUGCUACGAUUGGACAGCGAGUUCUGGCCAAUCCUCUCAAAGUUCGCUUCGAUUACGGACAUCCUGAUGUUUUUGAUAGACUCUUCCAUAUUACUAGGGGUGGCAUAAGUAAAGCUUCGAAGACUAUAAAUUUAAGCGAAUAUAUCUUUUCAGGUUUUAAUUCAAUAAUGAGAGACGGAAAUAUAACAUAUCAUGAGUACAUGCAAGUUGGUAAAGGACGUGAUGUGGGAAUGAACCAAAUUUCAAGCUUCGAAGCUAAGGUUGCUCAUGGCAAUGGUGAACAAACCUUGAGUCGUGACAUCUAUCGUCUCGGACGCAGAUUUGACUUCUAUAGAAUGCUAUCUAUCUACUUCACUACAGUUGGGUUCUAUUUCAGUAGCAUGGUUACUAUACUUACGGUCUAUAUCUUUUUGUAUGGGAGGUUAUAUCUCGUCAUGAGUGGUUUGGAAAAGUCAAUUUUGCUGGAUCCACGUAUUCUGGAGAACAUCAAGCCUCUCGAAAAUGCAAUGUGUUUAGAAUCUGUUUUCCAGCUUGGUUUGUUGCUUGUCCUUCCUAUGGUAACGGAAAUCGGCUUAGAGAAGGGAUUCCGCAAAGCGUUAGGAGAGUUUGUUAUCAUGCAGCUUCAGUUGGCACCUGUAUUCUUCACGUUCCAACUUGGCACCAAAACCCACUACUAUGGGAGAACAAUCCUCCACAAUUGCUCGCAAAACAGACCGACAGGUCGUGGAUUCGUUGUGUCCCAUGCAAAGUUCGCUGACAAUUAUCGCAUGUACUCCCGCAGUCACUUUGUAAAAGGAUUUGAACUGCUGAUACUUCUGGUUGUCUAUGUAGCUUAUGGAAGUUCCUAUCGCAGCUCGAAGUUGAACCUAUUUGUCACUUUCUCGAUAUGGUUCCUGGUUGGAUCUUGGCUCUUUGCACCAUUUAUUUUCAAUCCAUCAUGUUUUGACUGGCACAAGACAGUUGAUGACUGGACAGAUUGGAGGAACUGGAUGGGGAACCGAGGGGGUAUUGGCAUGGCUGUCGAACAAAGCUGGGAAGCUUGGUGGAUAGGUGAGCAGGAGCACCUAAGGAAAACUAGCAUCCGUGCUCUUCUCUUUGAACUCAUCCUUUCGCUUCGUUUCUUGAUCUACCAAUAUGGUAUUGUGUAUCAUCUAAACAUUGCACACAGCAGCAGAGGCAUUCUGGUCUAUGCAUUGUCAUGGCUGGUUAUGCUCACGGUCCUAGUAGUUUUAAAGGUGCUUUCAAUAGGACGGCAGAAAUUUAGGAACAACCUGCAGUUUAUGUCCCACAUCCUUAAGGGCCUUCUAUUCCUUGGCUUUCUCUCCGUGAUGGUGGUCCUAUUUGUUAUAUACCAACUCACAAUUUCUGAUGUCUUCGCUAGCAUUCUUGGGUUCGUGCCUACUGGUUGGUGGAUCCUUCUGAUUGGGCAAGCAUGCUCUCCAUUGGUUAAGAAGAUUAUGCUGUGGGACUCCAUCAUGGAGCUUGGCAGGGCAUACGAGAACAUCAUGGGUCUCAUUCUGUUCCUUCCCAUCGGCUUCUUGUCGUGGUUUCCCUUUGUCUCGGAGUUCCAGACACGGUUUCUCUUCAACCAAGCCUUCAGCAGGGGCCUCCAGAUCUCAAGAAUCCUUGCCGGCCAGAAGGACAUUGGGGAGUUCGAUUGA